CUGGCCAAAGAGGACGUGUGUGCCAUAUGUGGAGUAGAAAGGAAAGAUGAGUAUCACACCGUGAUCACGUGCACCAGAAGCAGGGCAUUGCGAUUCGCUAUGAGGGCAAUCUGGGUACUGCCGAAAGAGUCAGCCUUUAGGUGGACAGGUAAUGAUUGGUUACAGAUACUUCUAAUACCGCAGAUCGAGGAAAUCAGGAAAAGAAUACUGCUGAUUCUCUGGAAGGCCUGGCACCUUAGGAAUUAUAUCAUCCACGGGGAUGGAAAGGACACGGUCUCAGGAGCCGUGAAACACUUGAUCGGACUGGAGGAUGACCUGUCAUUGGUCGCGCUUGUAGAUUUCCCGACUACUGGGCAGCAAAACCAUUCACUACUGGCUGACAAAGGAUGCAGACCACCAGACCCAAUGCCAAAUGUGUGGCUUGCCCCGCCAGUGGGUAGAACAAAAAUAAAUUGUGAUGCCGCCUUUUUAUCAGAGUCAGGUAACACCUGGGGAGGCACAGUGGCAAGGGAUCAUCGAGACUUAGUCCUCCUCUCGGCUGGCGGUAGCUCCCUCAGUGUAAGUCUAUAG
rnacentral:rRNA from 1 species